UACGGGGGGUGCUAGCGUUGCUCGGAAUCACUGGGCGUAAAGGGUGCGUAGGCGGUUUUUUAAGUCAGGGGUGAAAUCCUGGAGCUCAACUCCAGAACUGCCUUUGAUACUGAAGAUCUUGAGUUCGGGAGAGGUGGGUGGAACUGCGAGUGUAGAGGUGAAAUUCGUAGAUAUUCGCAAGAACACCAGUGGCGAAGGCGGCUCACUGGCCCGAUACUGACGCUGAGGCACGAAAGCGUGGGUAGCAAACAGG
rnacentral:rRNA from 1 species